rnacentral:sRNA from 4 species
GCACCUGCAAAAUCAGGUGCCGGGUUUAGCAUCCUGGCUUAUCUUAUCGGCGGCACAUUUUGU